UUCCUUAAAAGAAAAUUCACUUGCACAGGUCUGAAAAUUGUUUUUCAAUGAGUUUUCAGUUCAAAGUUGAACAUAUUUUUUUUUUUGAAAAGUUUAAGGACCAUCACAUGAUUUAUGAAAUCAAAAACACUAUUUUUAUUGAGCUGUAGAGACAACGUAUUGAGAUUGGCACUGAAUGUCUCGAUACUUUCACACAGUGCAUUGAGACUUUGAAAGGUAGUGACAAUGUUUAGAUACUUUUACACCAUGUAUCAAGAUUAGACACUCAGCAGUCAAAAGCAACAGAAAGCCCCGAUUAAUGUUUUGAUACUUCUUUUGAAAGUAUCAAUACCUUAAGGCAAAAAGGCAAAAAGUUGGUCGCCCAUUCGAUUUUAUUGGUGCUUUCACAACAUGGAGUUUACAUGGAGAACAUGAUGUUAGACAAUCAUUAAGAAGUGGAAAUAGAGGUGAACCAUAUGCUAGUCAUGGGGAACAUGGGGAAUAUGAGGAAUCUACAUAUGAAGAGG
rnacentral:lncRNA from 1 species